GGCAAUGGGAAUAAAAGGGGGAAACUUGUGUUGAAACCUGGAUGCUAACUAAUUGCUAGCAUUGUCCCAUUAAGGGGUAGAUUUGGACCAGGACUGCCAGUUGCUGAUGAUAAUGCUUAGUCUGUUGGAAGUGCAACACCAGAGAUCAAUUAGUCUGUAACUUAAGGGGUUAAUUUAGUUCUCAAUGCUAGUCAGCUAUUCAAGGGCUGUGUGUGGAGGUGUUGCUUAACAACCAGUCAUAGUGGCAUGAGCCUCACUGAUUGGCUAUGUAGAGUUUUCCUCUAUAUAUUUCGUUGUUUGUCUCCCUGCUAUGUGCAAGACCUGAAGUAAGACAAAACUUCUCUGUUCCUUUCUCCUCAGAUCACACACUGUAUUCAGUUUCCCCACUAAAGAAUUAUCAGAAUUUCUUUUCUCAGUGGACUGCAUCAACAUUAUUUUAAGUGACUUGACUAACCUAGCCUUGCUGAGAAAUUCUACCAGGACCUCUAGGUACUAGGCUCUGAGUAAAAUAUCAGCUGAAAUACAUCUGCAUUGAUUUGGAACACAUCCCCUUCCAAAUUAUAAGGCAUAUCCAUAUCUCCAGAUAAAAGGAAGCAAUUUCUUCAAAGAGGCUGCGUCUCCUCCUUCCAUCAUCUCAGCUUCACCUCCUGCAAUCAGAGUGCCAUGGGUUCAAGUGGGUGCUAAACCCACCCUUAUGCAGGCUUUCCUUUGGCGUCAUAACAGCCUCUUCCUAUUGUUUGACUUGAGAGGAGAACCUUGCUAAUUGGCAGCGUAGCACUGUGCACUGAGGAGAAGAAGAGCAGCUGUGUGUGCCUCUCAGCUUCCUGGAGAGGUUGCAAUGGCAAGGCACUUCCAGCUCCUCCAGCGUUUCCCCAGCCAAACAAACAAAAAAGAACCCAGCCAAACAAACAUGCAGAUGUAUAUUCAUGUGCAGCGUCAAGAGAUCUGCUCCUGCCUGCCCAAGGAGAAUUGGGAUUUGAUUUGCAUCUUCAGGAAAAGGAACUCUUUGUCUCUGAGAAGGGUCUCCAAGCAAUUAGCAGAUGGAGCAAUGGGGCAGAUGAAUGGGAGUUGGAGGAAGAGGAAGCAGAGAAAGGGACUUCAACCUCUUGUGAAAAUUAGUCCCUAGGUGUGGGUGGGGAGGCUUUUUGAAAACUUCAUCUAUGUGCUGCCUUUCUGAGGUGGAUUUUAUCCCAAAGCAAAGCAUUUGCACUGCUGUCUCAAACCAUGAAAACAAUAAGAUGAUUCCUUAUAAUGAAUUUUUUAGAGUUUAUUUUGAGAAUCCUAUAUACUUCAGAGUUUGUGAAUGCGUAGGUGAACCUUGGUGGCAGGAGAUGUAGUACGUUUUUGAUUGUGAUGCUUUGCAUGAUGAUGGUGAUUUUAACAAAAAAUGCACACUAGUAUUCUUGUUGCUGGCAAUUCUGAGAAAGUCAUUCAUGCUGGCCAAACCAGAGAGAGACAGACAGAGAGAGAGCUAAACCAGAUCUUAAACAGAAGACAUUUUUUUUAUAAUGAAAAAUCGAUGGGGGGAGAUUCCUGGCAAUUGGACUGAAAGAGAGGCAGAGAAGAGGAAGGGAUGUUUCACCCCCUCAGGGAUGACACCCAGGAUAGGCCACACACCCCGCACCCCCCUUCCUACACCCCUGGGGGCAGCAAGAGCUGGGAUUAAGACUAACAUGGCUCAUUUUGUGGGGUGCCAUGAAACAUGGAGUUUUGACCACCAAACAUUACAGGGGCCUUUAUCCCUGUAUUUGGUGCCACUUUGGAGUGAAUUCGAUGACGUCGGGCUUUUGGCAAAAUCUUGACCCUCGCGGGUUAGGGCGCUGAGGGCUCGUUUUGUAGGAUGCUGUCAAAUGUGGUGUUUUGACUGCCAAACAUUGCAGGGGGUCUAGUCCCAGCGUUAGGCACUGUUUUGGAGUGAAUCGGACGAUGUUGGGCUUUUAGCAAAAUCUUGGCCCUGAGGGUUAGGGCCUCCCUGCAGGGUAGGCUCACCCCUGCAUUACAGGCUUAGGAGUCAGAGAGAGUUGAGAUGUUUGCACACAUGGUCUAAUUUCCCUUAAGCAGUUUAAACAUUUGUACAAGCUCUUGAGACUUGUGUUUCUUAGGUCCUUAGUUGUAGUUACCGUAUUGGCCUGAAUAUAAGCCUCACUUUCCCCCCAAAUUCUGACCGUGAAAAGUUAAAGUGCAGCUUAUAUUUGUGACCUUACGGUAUGCAGCCAGGAGCGUGGCAAAGUGGCGCCCGCCCCAUGUGUAGUCCCCCGUCCUCUCCCCCAAGAGUGAGGAAGGGGAAAGGCUGCCAGCAAUGCAGUGUGCCCCCCACUCCGUAUGCAGCCAGGAGCAGCAAGGAAGGGUGUGCCUUAUAUUCAGGUUACUCUCCUCCUUUCUUUUUAUGGGGAAGGUGGUGAUCGAAAGGUGUUUGAGACCUGAAUGGGAACUCUGUUACAGAUUGCUGAGAGACCAGACAACUCAAGGUUACAGGGGACAAGCAGGACACAGUGCAUGGCAGUAAUCCAGUCUUGAAGCAACCAGGGCAUGAACUAUGGUAGCCAGGCUCUCUUGGUCCUGGAAUGGCAGGAGUUAGUACCUCCUUUCUCUGCAAGCCCUGAAUGCUCUUGGCUGCCUCUUUGCAGCUGUUAGGAAGUCCUACAGUUCGUUCAACGGCAGAAAGAUGGAAGCAAUUGGUAGGGAUGUGCCGGCAGGUCUCUAUUAGGCUAAACGUAUUUCUGUUCUGCAUCAUGUCUUCUACGCUCAGGCGACUGAGAAAUUUCUGACACUAAAAAGGAGCAACAAAGUGGCCCCGCUCCAGCGCCAGGAACAGCCUGUGGCACCAGUUGUGCCACAGCUCUUCAAGGCUUUUCCAGAGCCUGAGCCAUUGGACCUUGAAAAGCUCUUCUUGGUCCAGAAUAUAGGGACUUGUAUGGAGGCAGCACAGAGGGACUUCAAAACCAUUGAGCUGCCAAACAUCUGGCUGCUGAAGGAAUUUUGGAUAUCCUGGGGCACCUGGACCAGUUUGAGGACCGCCCUGGAAUCCUUGCCUUGGCCCUUGAAGCCUUCUUUCAGUUGAGCUUCAUGAAGCUCACAGGACCAUCCUGCACUCUGCCUUUCAGGCAGUUGCAGAUGAAGACAAUGAAGAGGACCAGGGGAAAUUGUAUUUCAGGCUGAAAUUGGUCAUGCUUGGAUUCAACCAGAACUGAUGUUCCAUCUUUGAGAGAAUCAAAAAGAAGAAGAGGAAAUCCUCUGAGCUAUAUAUUAGUUUGAAGACUAACUGUAAAUUCAAUGGAGAUAGGAGAGCAUGCAGUUGCUGAUCCAUUUACUGCCCCUACCUAUGAGGAAGGGCCUUAGAUUGGUGACAGAGUCUACCUUGCAUGCAGAAGGUCCCAGGUUCAAUCCCCAAUGUCUUCAGGUAGGGAUGGGGAAAGACUCCUGCCCAUCUGCAGAUUUGUGUCUUGAUUCUGGAGUAUGUGUGUAAAUCGUAAAUGAAUUGUGGGAUGGGCAGCAGUCGCUUAAUUCUGCAGGUUAUUGAACAACAAAGCUGGAACUGCAAGAAGGAUCCAGAUCCAAAUUAAUUUAUCCCGCUGUCUGUGCUUUUGUGUAAUAGGAAAAAGGUAUCAGCUGUCAAUAAUAGUACCCCCAUGAUAAUUAUUUGUAUCCACUUUGUCCCAAACAUGUAUUGCCAGUAUGUGCAAGAAGAAAGAAUUGUCAGCAAUCAGUAUUUAUAAAAUUGAAGAAGCGGUUUUUGUACUUCCCUAGCCAGGAUGCGGAUCAAUCCCUUAAUCCCUUCAGUGUAAGAAUACGUUCAGUUAUAUUCCUCUUUACUUUCUUUAGAUUUAUUCAUAAUGAUUCCUUUACAUUUACUAGUAAUGGAGUUACAAAGAAUGAACACAGUGGAAGCCAGAAAAAUCUACAUUAAACUAGUUUUCCCCCCCCUCCACAUCCUUGGAGUAUAUAAACAGCACCAGCUUAGCUCCCCUUAGACCUUAUUAUAAAAUAAACAGAACUAUAUCCAACCUACAACAUGCUUCUCUACAUUUGCCUUUUGCACCACUUUGUCAUUUCCUCCAAACCAAAUAAUCAGCAGAUUAUUCAAUUUAUCCCGGAUAAUUCACUUUCAGUUUGCAAAAUCAAGGCAACCGAUGAAGAUCUCAGAUAUGGAUGCACCAUAAUUUUGACGACGAUAACCCCAGGGUGUCGUGAAUCCACCAGUGACCUUUGGGUGGUGUUCAUUCAUAUUGCUUCUCUUCUGGCAAAUGUGCUGCCCAACUCUGCCCAUAGUUAAAUAAAUCCCCACCUUUGCUUCAAAAUCAUUUAUAGCAUGUGUUUGUCCCAACUGCUUCCCCUGGCAGAAUACUCUACAAUCCAAUGACGUCUGGAAGGACAAGCAUAUCCUAUUAUCUAGUCAAAGCCUCCUGGCACUUCAACAGAAAGGUAUAUCAACUCACAGCAUAUUUCCUGCAGCACAGACAAAUGAAUUCCUCCAAAGGAGCUUCAAAUCAAUUUGGGUACCAAAGGGACUCUGUGUCAACCAUCUUUUUCAUAUGUGUCUCGCAGCCAUCGGAGAUGGCACGUGCCCAGAAGCCAGCUAUUGUUUGCACAGGCAGGUGUAUUCAUGUUGCCUAUUUAUUUAUUUCAAAGCAUGUCUAAACUGCUUCAUAUUUAAAACCUCUAAGAAGCAUGCAAAAAUACAGCAUAAAAGCAACAAUAUAAUAGCACAAAAACAGAAAAACCACUUUGAGAUUUUUUUGUUUUUUGUUUAGAAACACAUACUUCUUAGAGAUUUAUUUAUUGACUGUGUGUGGUACUGUAUAUCAGUCUUUGUAAAUCUGCUCCUGCCAACCUAGCAGUUUGAAAGCACAUC